rnacentral:lncRNA from 1 species
CUUUUGCCAAGGAUCACGAAAUGAUGGGUGGAUGGAUGCAGAGUCCGGGGGUUGAGAAGAGGGCCUGCGAGGUUAUGAGGACCCCCUCCCAGCAUCCCCUGCCUGUGUCAGCCUCCUCCCACAUUCUCCCAGGCGAAGGUCAGCACUAGAGGGACUAAAGGGAACUGGAAUUUUGGAGACCCAGUUAAUGCCUCCUUUAAACCUGAGUUCUAGCUUUACCUUCUCUGGGAAGAUGCUCCUCUCACUCCCACCUCAGUGGAUCUAGUGGCCCAGUUUCCUUUAAAGAAAUAUCUCAACAAGGUUGAAUGGGUGAUUAAGUAUGGACCAGACCUGGGGAAGGAGAGAACAUCCUUGAAGCAGCUCUGGGAGUUGUGGUGCAGGCAAAAAUGAGAAGAGAAGUCACAGAUGCCUGGCAGAUAGACCUGAGGUGUGGUAGGGAGGUGGUGAACCCAUGUGGAAGGUCUUUAAUGACAAUGUCCUGGAGGAUGGCGGACUUCGCUGAUUUGGAUGGCUGGAUACUAGCACCCACUAUUCUUUUUCUUUUUCUUCUUUUUUGAGAUGAAAUCAUGACAUAAAUUAACCAUUUUUUUUAAGAUUUUAUUUUUUUUCCCUUUUUCUCCCCCAAAGCCCCCGGGGACAUAGUU